ACAGAUAGCUAUAUUUGAACUGAUUAUAUCUUUCUUUCCCCUUCUUGAUACAGAAAUGAGUGGUGGAUUAGCACCAAGUAAAAGCACUGUAUAUGUAUCCAACUUGCCUUUUUCUUUGACAAACAAUGACUUUAUACAGGAUAUUUUCCAAAUAUUGAAAAGUUGUAAAUGAAGAAGUGGAAGAAAGUGAAGAUGAAGAAGACCCUGCUCUUGAUAGCCUCAGCCAAGCUUUCCAGGUUAGUAUAAGUUUGCAUCUUCCUGCAGUUAGCAACUCAAUACAUUUUGCAUACUGCCAGAAACCACUUAUGUAGGCAUGCAAGAGCCACAGGAGCCCUACUUCUCUGUAUCACCACUUGUCUCUCCACCUUUCCACUCUUCCACAUAAACUGGGAGAAAAAAAAUUUUCUGUCAAGACAAAUGGGUAUAAUGUGUUAGAGUAGCAUUUCCAGUGUUCUUCUAGACCAGUGUCCCACAGUGUUUUUCAUAGUCUUGCCUCUACUUCUACUACAGAGGCAAAAAGUGAAACUGAUUUUAAUUACUAUAUGACAGAAGAAAAAUCUUCAUUUACCCACAUCAUUGUUUCCUGAAAGAACUCCACCAAAAAAAGGUAGAAAAG
rnacentral:lncRNA from 1 species